rnacentral:rRNA from 1 species
CCUACGGGUGGCUGCAGUGAGGAAUAUUGGUCAAUGGGCGCGAGCCUGAACCAGCCAAGUCGCGUGAGGGAGGACGGCCCUACGGGUUGUAAACCUCUUUUUCCGGGGAGCAACGGGCGCCACGUGUGGCGUCACUGAGAGUACUCGGAGAAAAAGCAUCGGCUAACUCCGUGCCAGCAGCCGCGGUAAUACGGAGGAUGCGAGCGUUAUCCGGAUAUAUUGGGUUUAAAGGGUGCGUAGGAGGAUCGUGUAGUCAGUGGUCAAAUUGAGGGGCUCAACCCCUUCCCGCCAUUGAUACUGGCGUUCUUGAGUGGAAGAGAAGUAUGCGGAAUGCGUGGUGUAGCGGUGAAAUGCAUAGAUAUCACGCAGAACCCCGAUUGCGAAGGCAGCAUGCCGGCUUCCGACUGACGCUGAAGCACGAAAGCGUGGGGAUCGAACAGGAUUAGAUACCCUUGUAGUC